rnacentral:rRNA from 1 species
AGAGUUUGAUCAUGGCUCAGGACGAACGCUGGCGGCGUGCUUAACACAUGCAAGUCGAACGAGAAUUAAUAAGAAGCUUGCUUCUUAUUAAUUCGAGUGGCAAACGGGUGAGUAACGCGUAAGCAACCUGCCCUUCAGAUGGGGACAACAGCUGGAAACGGCUGCUAAUACCGAAUACGUUCUUUUUGUCGCAUGGCAGAGGGAAGAAAGGGAGGCUCUUCGGAGCUUUCGCUGAAGGAGGGGCUUGCGUCUGAUUAGCUUGUUGGCGGGGUAACGGCCCACCAAGGCGACGAUCAGUAGGGGUUCUGAGAGGAAGGCCCCCCACAUUGGAACUGAGACACGGUCCAAACUCCUACGGGAGGCAGCA